CUUAGGUCUAGUUCUUUUCCUUUUAUUUGUUCAAAUAUAUUAUUAUCAAAUAUUAUUUUUUGUUCUGAAGAUUCUUCGUCUUGAUGUUUUUCUUUAUUUAUUAUUUGUAUAUCUGUUUCAGUCAUUUGUUAUAUUAUAAAAUUCAUUAUCUGAUUCUAUUUCUAUAUCGUUAUUUAUUUCAUUUUCUGAUAUUUCAUAUAUACUAUCUUCACUUUCUAAUUCAUAAUCUAUGUAUUCUAUCUGCGUAUAUUUUUCAUCGUCUAUUAUUAUUUCUGAUAUUUGUUUUUUC
rnacentral:lncRNA from 1 species